rnacentral:lncRNA from 1 species
CUAUGCAGGUUCUUUUUUUUUUUUUCUAUUGGGGAUUGAACUCAGGACCUUGUGCUUUUGAAGCAGGUGCAGUUCCACUGAGCUAAAUCCCUAACUUUUUUCUUUUUUGGUUUUUGAGACAGGGUUUCCCUUUUGUUCACGCUGGCCCUAAACUCAAUACUAUGUAGUCCAGGCUAGCCUUGAACUCGAAGUGAUUCUCGUGCCUCUGCCUCCUGAAUGCUGGGAUUACAGGCAGUGUCAACCUAUUGUGUCACCUCACAGCGAGACAGCCCCAAUUCCAGUUCUUAUUCAGAUAAGGAAUUAUCAGCGCAUUGAGCAGAAUCUGACGUCUACUGCCAGCUCUAGUACAAAUUCACAUGGUUCUCCAAGGUAAGCUUAUGUCUUAAUUUUUUAACCUUUCGUUAUUGUUGUUGUUACUAUAUAUUAUUGAAAGAUCUGAAGCUUUCAAUCAAAUGUGUGUGUAUGUAUGUGUGUUUGCACGUAGAGAUGCAUAUAUAUAUAUAUCUACCCACAAGUAUAAUUACUUUUAAGAAUUGAAUAACUCAUUAAAAAUGAAAUCCUAGAGGGCAACCCAUUUGGGGCCCCUCCUGUCUCUCAGGAGUUAACCCUAUUUCCCAUUCUUAUUCCCUAUUCCUAUUCCCCAUUCCUAUUCCUGAUUCCUAUUCCCCAAUAAAUUUUCCUAGUCUUGACUGGGCAGGGGAUUUAGCUUAAGUGGCACUGUGCCUGCUUCACAAGUGCAGGGUUUGAUCCUCCAUACCAAAAAAAUAAUCCUACCAGUUACAGCAGAUUAUUUACUUAUUAUUUACUUCUUCCCCAUCCUGAGACUCCAUUAAAGAUGGUAGAUAGCAAAGAAAUAGCAAAAGUAUAAGUCCACAAACACAAGUAAAGUAAGAAUAGAUGUUCAGUGAUUACAGAUUUUCU